rnacentral:snRNA from 1 species
AGCUUUGCUCAGUGGCAGUAUCAUAGCCAAUGAGGUUUAUCCAGACGCAGUUAUUGCUAAUUGAAAACUUUUCCCGAGCCGGGUGCGGUGGCUCAAGCCUGUAAUCCCAGCACUUUGGGAGGCUGAGGGUGGU